rnacentral:rRNA from 1 species
UACGUAGGGUGCAAGCGUUGUCCGGAAUUAUUGGGCGUAAAGAGCGUGUAGGCGGCCCGAUUAGUCCGCUGUGAAAGUCCAGGGCUCAACCCUGGAAUGCCGGUGGAUACUGUCGGGCUAGAGUCCGGAAGGGGCGAGUGGAAUUCCUGGUGUAGCGGUGAAAUGCGCAGAUAUCAGGAGGAACACCAAUGGCGAAGGCAGCUCGCUGGGACGUGACUGACGCUGAGACGCGAAAGCGUGGGGAGCGAACCGG